UUGCUUUUUCAUACGCUGCUACCAAGUUGCUGUUAGAAAAAAAUACAAGGCAAUACAAAGUCAUUCAAAAAAGCUGGCUAAAAAAAAAAAAAACAAAAAAAAAAACCAAAAAAACCAACAACAACAAAAACCCACACCCAACCAUAAGCAAAACACGUUCUUCAGGGCCCUCAAAAAUCUGGUCCCUCUUCCUGGAAUUUACUGGAGCUUUAAAACUCAUUUGAUCUACAGCUCAUUGAUCCAAACAUGGAUCAGUGCUAAGCAGUGCUAACCUCUGUACAUUCUUUGGGCAAGUACACAUCUUUACCAGUAAACUAGCUACUCAAAAAUAUUUCAGUAUGGUUCAAUAUAAAGACUUGGUAUACUAAAUAUGAGACUUUGUAUGCUGUACUAAAAGAUUACACAUGUAAUGCUUUAUUAUUCUCUUGUGGCCAGAGUCUGAUUACAAAAAUCCAGCACUGAGUAAACAGCUGCAUUUAAAAAUUAACAUGAGAGUAUGACAUCUUGUGCUAACUUGUCAGCUACUAAAUAUCUUCUGUAUAUCUCCUAUGUAUCUAUAAAUACCUUUGACAUAUCCACCUGGUUCAGCAGGAGAGCUUGAGGCAGGUGCUUCCUCACCACAAGGGCUUUCUCUCCUUAGUGUAACUUAUUAAUAACUUAUUAAUGAAAAUUACACUGUCAGUAUAAUUACACUCUUUGCAGGAAAGGCAGCUACAACCCAUAUUCUCAGUUGACCCGCACAUACAUACUGAGCAACAAAUUUUAAGUGUGAUUACUGAAGCUGGUUUGCUAAAGAGGCUGGAGCCAGAGAAAAAGGAGCAAAUUUAAACAAAGUAACAGAAUUGGAAGAAUUGGAUUAAAUGGAGGGACUUCGGUUUUUCUUUAAGUAAUAUUGCAUUUUCUAGUAACUUGGUUAAGACUAACCUGUUCCCUCCACUCUUGUUUUUAGCUAUGUAGUUUUCAGCAUCCUAGCUGGGAGGUUUUACCCUCCUCCAUGUCUAACCUUCAGGAUUCAACUUGUGUGAACACAAGGAUCCAGAAAUGGUCGUGAUGACAUGUGUGGCUAAGUCAGUAACCUGGACUUUGUUUAAAUAACAAGGCCACCACAUGGGCUGCAGGAGUCAUGUAGGAGUGAGCACUCUUCACACACCACAGCAUAAGGGCACGGCCCCCACAGUGCUUACAGGGCAGCUGCCAGGCUACUGCUGGGAAGUGACGUGCCUGCAGGCACCACACUGCUCCAGUGCAGUGCUGAGAGAGAAUACUGAAGCCAGGGCAGAAUGUGAAGCCUGACAGCUGGGUGCAACCUCAUCCCAAACUGAAACAAAUACUCCCUUGUACAGAGGAAGACAAUCACUUCUCCACACUGAAGUUACCCUGUCAGCCCACCAAGAAAUUUUCUCUAGGAGAGCUGGACACGAGCUUAUAACCCUACGUGUUGCGAAAGUCUCCUGGAGGCCACACAGAAGCUGUUUGCCUGCUCACUGCCUGCAGUGCCUGGGCUGGCCCAGCCGCGGCAACAUCCUACAGCCAGACACAGCCAGACACUGCAGCACGUGGCACAUCUCGCCGUGUCCGUCUGCCUCAGCAACAGAACAGCCUUGACAAUGUACAGGGAAAUACUCUAACACGCUACAGAUGCUAAUGUACUGGCCAGGAUGAAGAGAGGUCUUGUGAUGAAGAACUGUCAAUAUUCCUUACACGUCCUUUCACUGAAGUAAUGCACUCUAUUUUCAAUUUCCUCAAUCUUUUUCCUUAGGAGUUAAAAGCUCACCUCCUCGCACUUCAAAUAUAAAUUUUAUUCCUUUACAUUCCAUUUCAGCUGAUGGAAUGCCUCAGCACAGUGUACCCUUGAAAUUUUUUUUCUGCGAAGAAAACAGGAACUAAACCAGUUUUUACAUGCAGUUGAAGACAAAUAAGAAAAGACCCACCCCAUCACCCUUCAGGCACAUUAGACAAUGUGUGCAGCACUGCUAUGAGAGCCACAUCAUGUGGGACUGCGUGUGGUGUGAAUUAGGUGUCUGUCAGCUCCAAAGGACUCAGACAGGGGCUAUGGAGAAGGCUCAGUAGCACAGUGUCCUGGACUGUGGCUGGGCAUGGAAAAACAUCUGCAGUAUUUGGGGAGAGGAAAAACUAAAAUUCCUAUCUGUCUGGUCAAUGCAACAUUACAUGGGAGAAAAGGAAUAGCUGUGAAAACACGAUGUACAGUCCCAAGGGAAAGAACCCUGCAGAGCCACAGCACAUGGCAGCUGAGAUCCCUGACACACCGGGGGUAACAAAAAACACAUGGAAAGAAAUGCAGUGGGGAAGGCUUGGAGGAACUUCCCACGCACAGUGAAGUUUGGCUGCUAAGGAAGCCGCUUUCCCCUGGCAUUCAGAGAACUGAUCCUUCUGCCCAUGGCAUGGAGUGCACCCAGCUAACUCCCCUCCGGUGAAAGCAUAAGCUAUAGCUCCUUUGCAUUGGGGUCAAGAGCACCUACAAAAUCUGAAGUGAGAAAGGAACAACAAGCUCUCUCCAGAUCAGGAGUAGGUAAAGUUGUGCUUUGAGUUCUGCCAUCUCCUCCUGUUGAAGAAACAUCAGAAUGCUGUUUCAUGGGACUACAUAUCAAAAAGAAGAUGAAAUCAAACAAAGCAUUCAUUCCUAUUACUUGAGUGCUCUUUCCAUGAAGAACAACAACAACAAGCCAGAAGGCUUUUUAUGAUGGCACACUGUCUUCGUCAGGAAGGCCACUAUGUGUUAGAAAAUGCUAGUGAAUUAUUGCACAGUUUAACAGAACAGCUUCUUCAGAGCAUGGACCUGAAGUACACGUGGUAUGCAAAAAAGGAAACAACGAAGGAUGAGGUGGCCAGCAGUGAUUCUUUCAGUCGACUGAAGAAGACUUUUGUAACCCAUGUAACCUCACAACCUUGAAAUGCCAAAUCUACUGAUCAUUUCAGGAUUAAUUUUAUCAAAUGCUGAGUACUUGAAGUCAUACUGAAUCACACAAAUACCGAGUACUUGCACUCAUACUCCAAUUCUGAAUUUGUGUGAAAAUUAGAAUGAAAAUGAAAGACUUUUCAUUUUAUAUAAUCAGAACCACCACAACAUUCUCAAAAUUAGAAUUGUGCUGGAUGUGGUUAUAUCAGAAGAAUAAAACAGCAAGGAAGUUCCACAUGAAAAAGGACUCCAAGAGGAUCACUAUAUACAAGGUGCAAUCUUUCAUAAGCAAAACAAAUAUCACAGUUGAUAAAAGCAGAGUUCUGGUUUAAGUGAUUUUACUACACACAUGUACUAGCGCACUAAAUGCUUAAUAAAGAUGAACAAAAGGAUUUUUAACAUUCUCAGCAAAGAGCAGAUUACAGCAGUUUCACAAAAGAGGGAGAACUAUCAGUGUAGGAAGCUUAGACUUCUUAUCUAGGUUACAUGUCCUUUGGAAUGCAGAAAGACAGCAAACCAAGAAUUAUUUACAUCCAUCAGAAGUAAUCUCCUUGCUAACUGGGGCAUAACAACUGACCUCAAAGCGAGACCCACUGAAUGAUGACAAACUGCAGACAAGAAUGUAUUUAGAAACAUGGUUAAUUACUGCUUGAAGCAAAGAUCUGUAUUUUACAGAAGCCCUGGUGGACCAGAAGGUCUUAUAUUCUGGAUGAGUGAAAAAUAAAACAGGGCGACAGAAGAACCAGACAAAAUGUCAGGCUUCCUGAACACCACCUCCAGCCUGUCUUUUUAUGGAUCAACUUAAUCAGUAAUAAAGAAAAAAAGGUGUAAAGGCACCUUCAGAACACCAUUAGCAUAAUACACAGAUGUAAGAAGCAAUGUAACCGAUGUGGUUAUCAUUUCUUCUGGGAGUCAGAAAUGAAAGGUGUCAAAAGGUGUACAAGAAAUGCUAACCAAUACAAGUUUCAGGAAGAAGGCAGCAGGUCACAAGACCCAGCAAUGUAGAAAAUACCUGAGUAGCUCAAUCAAGCUGUACCUAUCCUUGCUAAGAAUGCUGAAGGGAAGGAAUUUACUAAGAGAUGCUACAUAAAGAAGUCCUCUGCAGCCUGAGUCCAUCUGCUUCAAGUUAAAGAAGAAAACAGAUCUAUAUACUGUUCUGAUUAAGCUCCAUAUUUCAAAUACAUACAAGUAAUACACUCUGAAAGCCAAGAAAUUCACAGGCUUAGCUACGCUACAGUUUGCUAAACAGAUGAAGAAGGUGUAAUGCAACAGCCAUGAAUGCUAAUAAGGUAAUACAUUCUCCUGGGACCAAAGUAUGCACAGUAUAGCUCUGCCUUUGGGCCUUUUGUAAUGUUUUACCCAAAGAAGAAAUGUAAGUGUUUUCAAUUUCUGUCCUAUGAGAUGCCAUCUACCAUCAAAUCCUUUUCAAGUUUUGACAGCCUUGAGUUUUUUCACCACAUUCUUUUCAGAAACUUAAAGAAAUUUUCUGCAAUUGUGAAUUCCAGUAAAUGAUAACCAAUGAACACUACUGUAAUUUGUUCUCUGUCAGAAAGGAUUGAAGAUGAUUACAGCUACAUGUGUAAAACAUGUGCCUGUUUCAGUACGAACUGCACAGGAACUAAAGAAGAAAGGUGACUUCUGGGGAGAUUUCCUGCAUUGAAAAUGCAAGGUACUACAUGCAGCACCAAGUUAUGGGUGGACAAGGUAUGCAAAAAGCAAGUUAGAUGAUUGUUUAGAGAGAGAGAAUUAAAGAAUUGCUAGCACUCAAAACUGUGCCAGAAAUUAUAUGUAACUGUGGAUGUCCCUGCCAAGACAAGGAAUGCAUAGGCAGCAAUCACAAGGGACAGCUCUGCAGUUUGCCCUUACCCAUCAGUUUAAAGACAGAGGUAACAAUGGUGUAUAUGAUACUUCAGAGAAGAUCUGCAAGCAAGAGAGGAGAAAGCAGUGUAAUGUACGAAACAUACAUUCAAUAAUCUACAAAUGUCUUCCAGUAUAUCUCACAUAUUUUCAUUGCAAGGAAUAUACUGCUGUUGGCCAUAAUAUAUUCAAACAGUUGACAUAACUUUUAAAACUUCUGACUGGCAGCAGGUAUUAUUUUUUCUUGACAACAAACAUUGCAUGUAUUAUUGCAAAAUUAUAUUGUCAUUAGAUGGAAAGGCAGCAUCCCUAAGAAUAUAAAAUAUCAUCACUAAGCUAGAAGUUAAGACAGCAUCACCAGAUCUGAACAAAAAUCUACAGCUUUAAAAUCUUACAGAACUGUUAGGAUUUAGGUUUUGCUGCCCCGAUAUUGUAAAGUGCCAUACUUGCCAGUAUUUGACUAAAAUAUGACUUGCCAACAACCAGAAACUACACUUAUGGAACCGACACCAGACAAUUUCUAAAUGCAGACACGCUGUUAUGUUACCUUUACUAUGUUCCUUUAAUACAUACCUUACAGCAUUUGUAGGGAGCUUAUUAAAAAGAUGGGGAUCGACUUUUCACAUGAUCUGAUAGUGAUAGCACAAAGAGAGGAGAUUGAGAUUAGAUGUUAGGAGGAAAUUCUUUACUCAGAGGGUGGUGAGGCACUGCCCAGGGAAAGUGUGGAUGUCCCAUCCUUGGAGUUGUUCAAGGCCAGGCUGGAUGGGGCCCUGGGUGCAACCACCUACUGAGUGGCAUGGGGUGGAACUGGAUGGGCUUUAAGGUCCCUUCCAACCCAAGUCAUUCUGUGAUUCUAUAAUUAUGUUUUAGUUCACCUCUACCAAUUUACAAAGUCAAUACAGAAGCCAGGCUUAAAAUUUUAUAAGCUGUACACCCAGUGAAAAAAAGCCAGUUUGUCUAGAUCCCAUCUUUAGAACCGGACACAUAAAAUAGGCCUGACAUACGAGUUCUCCUAAAAUCUCUGUUCUACUGUUUGUCACUACAACACCCACUCUUUGCUCUAGCUCUAACACAAAUUACAAAUUUCAACACACUGUCUAGAACAGCUCCGGAAUUGUCACUGCUGAGAUCACCAUGGAUGACAGCUUCUUACACACCAUUCUUCCUCUCACAGCAGUACUAAAAGGAGGUGAAUUUGUUUUGCUCGAGUUCACAAACAUUCAAGAUGAGCUUCUGCACGGUUGUAAGUAGUGAACGCUCUCUUGGGAAGUGCUGUAUCAUGUUUUUUUGGUCACCCUCAAGCAACUCAGCUGCUGUAUCUCUUAGAAAAAGCAUCUUGUUUGUCAAGGAGAGCAUAUCAAGAGUAGAGCCACAGAUGAAGUUUUUGCCUAAUUCAAAACACACACAGCUUGUCAUUGCUAAUGCACUGCCUUCUGUCACUAUUUUACUACUGGAUUUUUGGCUUUGAUUAUUCACUUCAACUAAGUAAGCCUUUAUUACCCAGCAAUCACUAUCAAAGCCUCCCAUAUGGAUGACAUUCUUAGUAUGUUCUGUAGCACAAGGGCUUUGUCAGCACUGCAGUUAGUCUGCAUAUAAUUA